CUCCCAUCAAUUUAAAGAGUACUUCCUCUGUAAACUAAUAUAAGAGUGUCUAGAUAACUAAAAUAGUAAUCUAAACGCUCUUAUAUUAGUUUACGGAGGGAGUACAUUACAAAUCAGAAAGUUUCAAUUUGAAGGGAACAUCUCAAUUUGCAGCUUGGCGCGUCCGAAACACCUCUUUGGCAACCCCAUAAUACAUUAUUUUACCACCAAGCCAAACAAGAAAAUUCCAGCCAACAGGAGAUCCACCAACCACAUAAGACCCUUGCACUGUUUUCACGAGGUGCUUUGGGUGAUUUGCCAUCUCACUGCUUAGGGUUCCCUUCCCCUCUGGUAUUUUCU
rnacentral:lncRNA from 1 species